rnacentral:rRNA from 1 species
GGAAUCUUGGUCAAUGGGCGCAAGCCUGAACCAGCGACGCCGCGUGAGUGAUGAAGGCCUUCGGGUUGUAAAGCUCUGUGGGGCGAGACGAAAGCCUACGUUCUAACAGGACGUAGUUUGACGGUAUCGCCUUAGCAAGCACCGGCUAACUCUGUGCCAGCAGCCGCGGUAAGACAGAGGGUGCAAACGUUGCUCGGAAUCACUGGGCGUAAAGGGCGUGUAGGCGGGGAGAUAAGUCAGGUGUGAAAUCCCCAGGUUCAACCUGGGAACUGCACUUGAAACUGUCUUUCUUGAGUGUCGGAGAGGAAAGUGGAAUUCCUGGUGUAGAGGUGAAAUUCGUAGAUAUCAGGAGGAACACCGGUGGCGAAGGCGGCUUUCUGGACGACAACUGACGCUGAGACGCGAAAGCGUGGGGAGCAAAC